CGGCAGCAUUUCUCUGAUGUUUCCAUGCUAAACAGAACUAAAUGUAAACCAUUGCAUUUUGAAUGGGAUCGUUAUUCAGAUGAGAGAGAGAGAGUUUGCGCACAGGGGCGGAUCUAGAAAAAUAUUCAUGGGGUGGCAAGAGGGGGACAGGAGAUUUUGAGGGGUGGCACCCUAUGGCAGAAGUAUAUACAGUAUGCCGAUUUAAUUAAAGCCAUAUCAAUCAAUAUUUACUUGGAAAGCCCCCACAUUUAGAUAUUUUGAGUCAAUAACAUUAUAUUUAAUUUAUUGUGGGAUGAGUAAAGCCUUACAUUUAAACAUAAAAGGUUUCAGACAAAAUUUAAUAAAUUAUUACUGAAUAAUUACAAAAUCAACCUGCCUUACAACAAACACCUGCAGUAUUACACCAGCAGGGGCAUGGGGCUAAAAAUAUAUGCAAAGAGAGCUGCAAUAUGUACUUUAGUUAACAAUAAGUUGGCAUUGGUGCAUGAGAUAUUCCUAUCAGAUGUCAAUCAUCAGUCCAACUUGAGUGCAAAUAUCACUUUAUUCACCGAUUCCAAUAAUUUACAUACAAUGCCACCCUCAAAGUGCGGUGACAUAGAAUAACUCCCAAAGUAGAGUGUAUUACCUGCAUGCUUGGAAGAGCCAAAUGGGACUGUUGAUACAAAAGGAGGCACAUGAAGUUAACAGUCAGGAAAACCAGCUGAGUGUAGAAGGGUUUGUGUUUGUUAGCGCGUCUUUAGCGCGGAUUGCAAUUCUUAUUGCAGCCUGCAGGGUUAUGAGAGAAACAUACGGAGGGACGCGGUCGUUGAGCUCCGCCGCCCCACAUUGCAUGACACGUUAAACUCAACUAGAAUUGCCACCAUCAAUUUGAUAUCAACAGAACAAAAAUAGUCGGAAAGCCUACAGAAACUGUAGAUAGUUAAUGUGACAAUCACAUUAUUAAAAAUAAACUUGGAGCAAUGAUUUACUGAGGAACUAUUUUUUUGGGAGAAUGCUUUUGCAGGGAGUUCUCCGCCCCACCUGCCCAUAUGGACGGCACGCGCCUGCUAUGCAGCUAUAAGGCAUUCCAAUCUUAACUUAAGUCUUUAACUAUGAUGUUUCUGUAAUACACAGCCCUGCUCAAGAAUGUAGUCUCUCUGCCGCGCCGCUUGCUUCUUCCGUGGGGGGGGGGGGGGGGGCAGGCGGGAUGGGGCAAUAUUUCCUGGUUGCAUUCACUUGCAGUCGGACUUUGAAACUCG
rnacentral:lncRNA from 1 species